GACUAACAGUUAAACUACAGUGUUGAUUCAGGAGGAGGAGGAGGAGGAGGAGGUGCUGCCUGAGCUGCUGUCUCCUCUACUAGACGACUAACAGUUAAACUACAGUGUUGAUUCAGGAGGAGGAGGAGGAGGAGGAGGAGGUGCUGCCUGAGCUGCUGUCUCCUCUAUUAGACAACUAACAGUUAAACUACAGUGUUGAUUCAGGAGGAGGAGGAGGAGGAGGUGCUGCCUGAGCUGCUGUCUCCUCUACUAGAAGACUAACAGUUAAACUACAGUGUUGAUUCAGGAGGAGGAGGAGGAGGAAGAGGAGGUGCUGCCUGAGCUGCUGUCUCCUCUACUAGACGACUAACAGUUAAACUACAGUGUUGAUUCAGGAGGAGG
rnacentral:lncRNA from 1 species